AAGGACUUGUAUCGCUGAAGUUCUUCGGAUAGAAAUUCUGCUAGAAAUUAACAAACAAGCAGAACGUAACAAUAAGUUAUAGCUUGUCUGCCGCCUAAUAUUUUGGUUUUGUAAGAUGAAAUGAUUUUUAAUGAAGACAAAUAAAUUUUUGUGAUGGUCCAUUUCUUGAAAUUACUAAAUAUAUACUUUCGGAUUCCAGAAGUUAUCAUGUGAUUAUCAAUACUUGUUGUUAAUUCAGAAUUCGAGCUAGAUGAUUUAAUUUAUGAGAGAAAGAAGACGGUAAUCAUUGAAUUAUCAAUGCCAGAAAGUGGUAGUCCUGGACCUUCUUGUCUCUGUGGAGGCCAAGCGAAUAUACAAGCUGUUCUAAGGCCUAGUGUGUGGCUUCCAGGAGUGCGGUUCCCUCAUCAGUACCAAGAGACUUGGCGUCUAGCUGCUAACCCAAC